rnacentral:sRNA from 1 species
GGCGGAGUGCUGCUCAGUCCGUUCUUGAUCUAUGUGGUAUUGGCGCUGGUGCUCACCGGUGUGCUGCGCCUGCUGGUGCGGGUCUGCGGGCUGGGAAACUGGAUCUGGCACGAAGCAUUGUUCGAUUGUGCGUUG